CCAGCAGCCGCGGUAAUACGUAGGGUGCGAGCGUUAAUCGGAAUUACUGGGCGUAAAGCGUGCGCAGGCGGUUUUGUAAGCCAGGUGUGAAAUCCCCGGGCCUAACCUGGGAAUGGCAUUUGGGACUGCAAGGCUGGAGUGUGGCAGAGGAGACUGGAAUUCCUGGUGUAGCAGUGAAAUGCGUAGAUAUCAGGAGGAAUACCGAUGGCGAAGGCAGGUCUCUGGGCUGACACUGACGCUCAUGCACGAAAGCGUGGGGAGCAAACAGGAUUAGAUACCCUGGUA
rnacentral:rRNA from 1 species